AGAGUUUGAUCAUGGCUCAGGACGAACGCUGGCGGCACGCUUAACACAUGCAAGUCGAACGAGAGAAGAGGAGCUUGCUUUUCUGAUCUAGUGGCGGACGGGUGAGUAACACGUGAGCAAUCUGCCUUUCAGAGGGGGAUACCGAUUGGAAACGAUCGUUAAUACCGCAUAACAUAAUUGAACCGCAUGAUUUGAUUAUCAAAGAUUUAUCGCUGAAAGAUGAGCUCGCGUCUGAUUAGCUAGUUGGUAAGGUAACGGCUUACCAAGGCGACGAUCAGUAGCCGGACUGAGAGGUUGAUCGGCCACAUUGGGACUGAGACACGGCCCAGACUCCUACGGGAGGCAGCAGUGGGGAAUAUUGCACAAUGGAGGAAACUCUGAUGCAGCGAUGCCGCGUGAGGGAAGAAGGUUUUAGGAUUGUAAACCUCUGUCUUCAGGGACGAAAAAAGACGGUACCUGAGGAGGAAGCUCCGGCUAACUACGUGCCAGCAGCCGCGGUAAUACGUAGGGAGCGAGCGUUGUCCGGAAUUACUGGGUGUAAAGGGAGCGUAGGCGGGAUCGCAAGUCAGAUGUGAAAACUAUGGGCUUAACCCAUAAACUGCAUUUGAAACUGUGGUUCUUGAGUGAAGUAGAGGUAAGCGGAAUUCCUAGUGUAGCGGUGAAAUGCGUAGAUAUUAGGAGGAACAUCAGUGGCGAAGGCGGCUUACUGGGCUUUAACUGACGCUGAGGCUCGAAAGCGUGGGGAGCAAACAGGAUUAGAUACCCUGGUAGUCCACGCCGUAAGCGAUGAUUACUAGGUGUGGGGGGACUGACCCCUUCCGUGCCGCAGCAAACGCAAUAAGUAAUCCACCUGGGGAGUACGACCGCAAGGUUGAAACUCAAAGGAAUUGACGGGGGCCCGCACAAGCAGUGGAGUAUGUGGAUUAAUUCGAAGCAACGCGAAGAACCUUACCAGGUCUUGACAUCGUAUGCAUAGCUCAGAGAUGAGUGAAAUCUCUUCGGAGACAUAUAGACAGGUGGUGCAUGGUUGUCGUCAGCUCGUGUCGUGAGAUGUUGGGUUAAGUCCCGCAACGAGCGCAACCCUUACUGUUAGUUGCUACGCAAGAGCACUCUAGCAGGACUGCCGUUGACAAAACGGAGGAAGGUGGGGAUGACGUCAAAUCAUCAUGCCCCUUAUGACCUGGGCCUCACACGUACUACAAUGGCUGUCAACAGAGGGAAGCAAAGCCGCGAGGUGGAGCGAACCCCUAAAAGCAGUCUUAGUUCGGAUUGUAGGCUGCAACCCGCCUACAUGAAGUCGGAAUUGCUAGUAAUCGCAGAUCAGCAUGCUGCGGUGAAUACGUUCCCGGGCCUUGUACACACCGCCCGUCACGCCAUGGGAGUCGGUAACACCCGAAGCCUGUAGUCUAACCGCAAGGAGGACGCAGUCGAAGGUGGGAUUGAUGACUGGGGUGAAGUCGUAACAAGGUA
rnacentral:rRNA from 1 species